NNNNNNNNGUCGUAACAAGGUUUGAAGUAAGAUCGUUCCACAGGUGACGCUUAUGAGAAGCCUUUGUGGCCCUGCAAAGGGUACCUGCCGCGACUAUAAACAAAGAAUGUGGGUAUUAAAUCGCAAGUCAGCUCUGGAGCUGGCCACACUUUCGAAUUGCGGGGACUCCCUAAAGCUCGAUUCUACCAACCAGCCGGGGAAACUUGUCUGGGGCCGAUGUUAACAGCAUUGGGUAUGGUAACAACGAAGAGAGAUAUGCUGGCUUGCCAGCGAAAUGGGUAAUCCGCAGCCAAGUCCCUAAAGCGUUGCUUCACGCCAUGGGAAAGGUCCACAGACUAAGUGGAAGUGGGUUGAACGAUCGUUCAGCUUAAGAUAUAGUCGGGCCCUGAUUGAAAGAUCUGGGGAGUCACUGUUCCGUAGGUGAACCUGCGGAAGGAUCAUUA
rnacentral:ncRNA from 13 species